rnacentral:rRNA from 2 species
CUUUCAACAACGGAUCUCUUGGUUCCAGCAUCGAUGAAGAACGCAGCGAAAUGCGAUAAGUAAUGUGAAUUGCAGAAUUCAGUGAAUCAUCGAAUCUUUGAACGCACAUUGCGCCCCUCGGUAUUCCGGGGGGCAUGCCUGUUCGAGCGUCAUUGCACCCCUCAAGCACAGCUUGGUAUU